AUGGAUGAUAUCCCCGAGGAGGAAUUCCAGGCAGACGAUGCACGGCUCAGGUCUCACAUAGUAGAUGAAGUUGACACCGAUGAUAGAUUGGAUGAAGAGGAGGCGAACAGGAUCAGUCACAAGUACGCACGAUACCGCCUCAAAGCUUGCAUGUUGCUCAAAGGAGUGCCUAUCGACGAUGCUGCAUUCGACUCCCAGUACCCUCCAGACCUUCCCUUGGACAACCACCGUCUUUACCUGGAAGAUGAAGCCUUGGGCUGGUGGUUUGACUUGGGCACCUCAUCACCCGCGACCUUGAGCGACUAUCAGCGGCUAGUCCCUUGUAAUGAAGGGGGCGUUGAGUAUGAAAGUUGGAGUGAAUACCGAGAGUUUUAUAGCACCCCUGAAACUGAUAGAGAUUAUCUGCUGUACUGGGAAACGAUUGUGAAGGAUCUUAAGUGGAUUGAAGAGCAUGCGCUUAAAGGCUAUAUGGAGUGGUCUGAGUUGCGUGGAAAAGCUUGGCGCCAAGCAGUUAGGAUUGCUACUAGGUUCGAAAACAUUCCUCUGAGCCUAGCACAUUAUGGUUUCCAGGAGUAUACAACGAGCAGAUAUCUCGCGUUCGUGAAAGAUCUUGACUCUGUGUUUUUUGAGAUUUGGAAGCUGGUCAAUGGGCGUGAUAAGAUGUCUUUCAGAGAUGCUAUGAAGCAGGUGUAUGAGGAGAACCCGUUUCCAUUACGCAAACGUGAUUUGGAGCACGAGCUGAGUCACCCUGUCUCGUUGGGAUUGGAGGAAGACUUUCGACGGUGCACGGAGGGCAUCAGCAAGGAAGUUCCAGAGUGGAUAGCGCGUAUGUUAAUUUCACAGGAAGUUAGUUUCAAGUGUGAUCUGCCAAGGAGGUAUGUGCAGUACGCCACGAAGAAGCUCAAGAUUGCAGAAGUCAUAGGAUUGAUUCCCAAGGCCAAGAUACAAGCCUAG
rnacentral:rRNA from 1 species